UUUAUUUAUAAAUGCAGCCGAAAACCAGUUAUAAGGACAUCGAUAAAAAAGAAUAUGGUAAAUAUUUAUUCAUUUUUUUUUUAAAUGAUUACUAUAUCCUAUUCGUAGAUGAUGCUCUGUGGGUGUGUGCGUAAGAACAGCUGAAGGCUACGUUGUUGGUUUUAUUUAAACAAACGUCCUUCUCUAGAGCUGGAAGGUGCAUAUUAACACUAGAUAUUCCGACAAGGUAUUUCGUUUCUCUUUCUCUCUCUAACGCCAUUCCCUUUUGAACAGAUAUCGGUCGCUCUCUCUUUCCUUCUACAACUGCUCGUUUACCGUAAAAGGUAUGAAGCACGCCCUCGGGCUACGUUUAUCGAACUUCAUUUCCUUAUUCAUAACGUCAAUCGUUUCCUUAAUCAAAACAAUUUUGUUUCAAACUGGGUUUUUUUUUAUUUGGUUCGAUUCUUUUUAAAAGGAUGUACGAUCCUAAUAAUUGUGACACAACUGAAAUUAAUUGCGCUGAGCGGCCAGCACAAAGUGGAAUCAUCGCAGACAUUGUUUUUUUUUACGACCAGUGAAACAUAUUUUUCAAAUCAAAAUUCGUCUGCUAGAGGUCGGUCAACACGCCAAAAAAGAAAUGAGAGAAAAACGACUGGGAUGAUUUCACCAAAAAGAGAUGACAUCAUUUACCAUUUCCUCUUCCAUUUUGGCCACCACGAAUAGCUGAAUUUUUUUAAAAAAGAAAAACAAGCCUGAAAACAUAUGUAUGUUGCAGGCGGAUUUGUUUUUCACUGCCAGGGUGGACUACAUGCUGAGCCUUUUGUGCAACAAACGACACACAUCUAUACGGAAAUGAAAGUCUAGGCCAACCUUUUUUUUUUCC